rnacentral:rRNA from 1 species
CAGCCGCCACGGUAAAACAGAGGGUGCAAGCGUUAAUCGGAAUUACUGGGCGUAAAGCGCGCGUAGGUGGUUUGUUAAGUUGGAUGUGAAAGCCCCGGGCUCAACCUGGGAACUGCAUCCAAAACUGGCAAGCUAGAGUACGGUAGAGGGUGGUGGAAUUUCCUGUGUAGCGGUGAAAUGCGUAGAUAUAGGAAGGAACACCAGUGGCGAAGGCGACCACCUGGACUGAUACUGACACUGAGGUGCGAAAGCGUGGGGAGCAAACAGGAUUAGAUACCCCUGUAGUCCCUGUCUCUUAUAC